GGGAAGGGAAGGGAAGGGAAGGGAAGGGAAGGGAAGGGAAGGGAAGGGAAGGGAAGGGAAGGGAAGGGAAGGGAAAUCAAUUGCAAACUGUUAAGACACAGCUAGUGAUUGGGUCACUGAAAUUCUAUGGGCAUACUUAGUCACCUCAAAGAUAUUACUAAUUACACAUCAAAUACAUCUUUCUGGAAGGAACAAUUGUUCCUAAAGAUGUUGUUUUGGUUUUCCC
rnacentral:lncRNA from 1 species